UACAGAGGGGGCAAGCGUUGUUCGGAAUUACUGGGCGUAAAGGGCGCGUAGGCGGCCAACUAAGUCAGACGUGAAAUCCCUCGGCUUAACCGGGGAACUGCGUCUGAUACUGGAUGGCUUGAAUCCGGGAGGGGGAUGUGGAAUUCCAGGUGUAGCGGUGAAAUGCGUAGAUAUCUGGAGGAACACCGGUGGCGAAGGCGGCAUCCUGGACCGGUAUUGACGCUGAGGCGCGAAAGCCAGGGGAG
rnacentral:rRNA from 1 species